rnacentral:rRNA from 1 species
UACGUAGGGUGCAGGCGUUAAUCGGAAUUACUGGGCGUAAAGCGUGCGCAGGCGGUCUUUUAAGUCAGAUGUGAAAUCCCCGGGCUUAACCUGGGAACUGCGUUUGAAACUGGAAGGCUAGAGUGUGGCAGAGGGGGGUGGAAUUCCGCGUGUAGCAGUGAAAUGCGUAGAGAUGCGGAGGAACACCGAUGGCGAAGGCAGCCCCCUGGGCUAACACUGACGCUCAGGCACGAAAGCGUGGGGAGCAAACAGG